AUGCAGUCGAGCGGCAGCACGGAGAGCUUGCUUUCUGGUGGCGAGCGGCGGACGGGUGAGUAAUGCAUAGGAAUCUGCCCGGUAGUGGGGGAUAACCUGGGGAAACCCAGGCUAAUACCGCAAACGUCCUACGGGAGAAAGGGGGCUUCGGCUCCCGCUAUCGGAUGAGCCUAUUUCGGAAUAGCUAGUUGGUGAGGUAAUGGCUCACCAAGGCGACGAUCCGUAGCUGGUCUGAGAGGAUGAUCAGCCACAUCGGGACUGAGACACGGCCCGAACUCCUACGGGAGGCAGCACUGGGGAAUAUUGGACAAUGGGCGCAAGCCUGAUCCAGCCAUGCCGCGUGUGUGAAGAACGCCCUCGGGUUGUAAAGCACUUUCAGUGAGGAACAACGCCUAUCGGUUAAUACCCGGUAGGGAAGACAUCACUCACAGAAGAAGCACCGGCUAACUCCGUGCCAGCAGCCGCGGUAAUACGGAGGGUGCGAGCGUUAAUCGGAAUUACUGGGCGUAAAGCGCGCGUAGGUGGCUAAAUAAGCCGGUUGUGAAAGCCCCGGGCUCAACCUGGGAACGGCAUCCGGAACUGUUUGGCUAGAGUGCAGGAGAGGAAGGUAGAAUUCCCGGUGUAGCGAUGACAUGCGUAGAGAUCGGGAGGAAUACCAGUGGCGAAGGCGGCCUUCUGGACUGACACUGACACUGAGGUGCGAAAGCGUGGGUGCACACAGGAUUAGAUACCCUGGUGGUCCACGCCGUAACGAUGUCGACUACCCUUGGGCUCUUCGCGAGCUUAGUGGCGCAUUUACGCGAUAAGUCGACUGCCUGGGAGUACCGCCGCAGGUGAAACUCAUAUGAAUUGACGGGGGCCCGCACAAGCGUGAGCAUGUGAUUUAAUUCAAUGCACGCUAAGACCUAACUACCCUUGACAUCUGCGACGUGGUAGAGAUACUUGUUGCCUUCAGAACGCAAAGACAGGUGCUGCACGCUGUCGUCACUCAUNUGUCAAACGUUGGGUAAGUCCCAUAACCU
rnacentral:rRNA from 1 species